GCUGGGCGUGGUGGCGCGUGCCUGUAGUCCCAGCUAUUAGGGAGGCUGAGGCUGGAGGAUCUCUUGAAUCCAGGAGUUCUGGGCUGUAGUGUGCUAUGCUGAUCGGGUGUCCGCACUAAGUUCAGCAUCAAUAUGGUGACCUCCCGGGAGCGGGAAACCACCAGGUUGCCUAAGGAGGGGUGAACCAGCCUAGGUCGGAAACGGAGCAGGUCAAAACUCCCGUGCUGAUCAGUAGUGGGAUCACGCAUGUGAAUAGCCACUGCACUUCAGCCUGGGCAACAUAGCGAGACCCUGUCUCA
ensembl:misc_RNA Metazoa_SRP Metazoan signal recognition particle RNA